rnacentral:lncRNA from 1 species
GGCAUGGCUGGUGGCUGUGGUUCUCAGUUUUGGAUGGUGCUGUGAACUCGGCCCUGAGCCAUAAUUUACGGACAGGAACCUCCAGGAGGAGCAUGACGCAUCUUCUUGAAGAUUAAUUUAUUUGAAGGAGCAAAACAAAAAUGAAAACAAAAACAAAAGAAAUUAGAAUGUCUGCUGCAUAAUUUGUGAAAGCCCAUAAAGAGCAAAAGUUUUUGGGUCGGCUCCGUGGCGGAGUGAUUAAGUCCGCAUGCUCCGCGUCAGUGGCCUGGGGUUCACCAGUUCGGAUCCUGGACGCAGACCUACACGCUGCUCAUCAGGCGAUGCUGUGGUGGCAUCCCACAUGGAAGAACUAGAAGGACUUACAACUAGGAUAUACAACUAUGUGCUGGGGCUUUGGGGAGAAAAAGAAAGGGAGAUUGGCAACAGCUGUUGGCUCAGGGCCAAUCUUCUUCACCA